rnacentral:rRNA from 1 species
UAACCGGGAAGAACCUUACCAAGGCUUGACAUACACCGGAAACGGCCAGAGAUGGUCGCCCCCUUGUGGUCGGUGUACAGGUGGUGCAUGGUUGUCGUCAGCUCGUGUCGUGAGAUGUUGGGUUAAGUCCCGCAACGAGCGCAACCCUCGUUCUAUGUUGCCAGCGCGUUAUGGCGGGGACUCAUAGGAGACUGCCGGGGCCAACUCGGAGGAAGGUGGGGAUGACGUCAAAUCAUCAUGCCCCUUAUGUCUUGGGCUUCACGCAUGCUACAAUGGCCGGUACAAAGGGCUGCGAUACCGUAAGGUGGAGCGAAUCCCAAAAAGCCGGUCUCAGUUCGGAUUGAGGUCUGCAACUCGACCUCAUGAAGUCGGAGUCGCUAGUAAUCGCAGAUCAGCA